rnacentral:rRNA from 1 species
UGGGGAAUUUUGGACAAUGGGCGAAAGCCUGAUCCAGCAAUGCCGCGUGUGUGAAGAAGGCCUUCGGGUUGUAAAGCACUUUUGUCCGGAAAGAAAUCCUUGGCUCUAAUACAGUCGGGGGAUGACGGUACCGGAAGAAUAAGCACCGGCUAACUACGUGCCAGCAGCCGCGGUAAUACGUAGGGUGCAAGCGUUAAUCGGAAUUACCGGGCGUAAAGCGUGCGCAGGCGGUUUGCUAAGACCGAUGUGAAAUCCCCGGGCUCAACCUGGGAACUGCAUUGGUGACUGGCAGGCUAGAGUAUGGCAGAGGGGGGUAGAAUUCCACGUGUAGCAGUGAAAUGCGUAGAGAUGUGGAGGAAUACCGAUGGCGAAGGCAGCCCCCUGGGCCAAUACUGACGCUCAUGCACGAAAGCGUGGGGAGCAAAACAGGAUUAGAUACCCUGGUAGUCCACGCCCUAAACGAUGUCAACUAGUUGUUGGGGAUUCAUUUCCUUAGUAACGUAGCUAACGCGUGAAGUUGACCGCCUGGGGAGUACGGUCGCAAGAUUAAAACUCAAAGGAAUUAACGGGGUCAUAGCUGUUUCC